rnacentral:tRNA from 2 species
GGGCAGGUAGCUCAGUUGGUAGAGCAACGGACUGAAAAUCCGUGUGUCGGCGGUUCAAGUCCGCCCCUGCCCA